ACAACCAUUUCGCAUCUAAUGCGGUAUUGGCAGAUGUGGGUGGCACUUGCGGUGCCUCUCCCACUCAGCUGAAAUGGAUAGGCCAGAGAAGCAAACCAUGGCAACAGACUCACAGAGUGUUAUAAAAUGCUAGACUAGUCUGAAGCAGGUUGAAAUCUGUGCCAUUGGACCCCCCGUUCAUCAAAACUAUAGA
rnacentral:misc_RNA from 1 species